AGCUCCAAUAGCGUAUGUUAAAGUUGUUGCGGCUAAAAAGCUCGUAGUUGGAUUUCUAGAUGAGAGGAGUGGUCCACUCUAUGAGUGUGUAUCUACUUCCGCUCGUCUAUCCGCUCUGCAAACGUGUCUGCGCUUGACUGCGUGGCGCGGAGGUAGGGCCUUUUACUUUGAGGAAAUUAGAGUGUUCACGGCAGGCAAUCGCCUUGAAUAUAUUAGCAUGGAAUAAUAACAUAGGACUUUGGUUCUAUUUUGUUGGUUUCUAGAACUAAGGUAAUGAUUAAUAGGGAUAAUUGGGGGCAUUCGUAUUAACACGUCAGAGGUGAAAUUCUUGGAUUGUGUUACGACGAACUACUGCGAAAGCAUUUGCCAAGGAUGUUUUCAUUGAUC
rnacentral:rRNA from 1 species